UCGGGAAUCUUGGACAAUGGGCGCAAGCCUGAUCCAGCCAUGCCGCGUGAGUGAAGAAGGCCUUAGGGUUGUAAAACUCUUUCGCCGGAGAAGAUAAUGACGGUAUCCGGAGAAGAAGCCCCGGCUAACUUCGUGCCAGCAGCCGCGGUAAUACGAAGGGGGCUAGCGUUGUUCGGAAUUACUGGGCGUAAAGCGCACGUAGGCGGGUCUGUAAGUAGAGGGUGAAAUCCCAGGGCUCAACCCUGGAACUGCCUUCUAGACUGCAGGCCUGGAGGUCAGGAGAGGCGAGCGGAAUUCCGAGUGUAGAGGUGAAAUUCGUAGAUAUUCGGAGGAACACCAGUGGCGAAGGCGGCUCGCUGGACUGAUACUGACGCUGAGGCGCGAAAGCGUGGGGAGCAAACAGGAUUAGAUACCCUUGUAGUCCCUGAGCGGGCUGGCAAGGCGCAU
rnacentral:rRNA from 1 species